GAGCGAGCUUGGAGCACCAGCCGAACAUGCUCUGAGCACCGGCCUUCUAAGCCGGGGGUUGUGGGUUCAAAUCCCGCCUCGCCCACCA
rnacentral:tRNA from 1 species